GUGCGCACUUCAACGGCACACAUAGCAAAACCAGAACGAUACAGAGAUUAGCACGGCCCCUGCACAAGUAUGACACACACAUGUCACAGAGCUCACACGUGCGU
ensembl:snRNA U6 U6 spliceosomal RNA